rnacentral:rRNA from 1 species
ACAACGGAGGUGCAAGGGCUGUCGCUGGCCUUCAAAGGUCGUGCGCGCCCGGGCCCUCUCACAAUCCAUCUCACCCUUUGUGCAUCACCGCGUGGGUCCCCUUUGCGGGAGGGCUCACGUUUUAACAUAAAAACUCGAUACAGUGUAGAAUGUUUAUUUUUGCGGUCACACGCGAUCAAUACAACUUUCAACAACGGAUCUCUUGGCUCUCGCAUCGAUGAAGAACGCAGCGAAAUGCGAUACGUAAUGUGAAUUGCAGAAUUCAGUGAAUCAUCGAAUCUUUGAACGCACCUUGCGCCCCUUGGCAUUCCGAGGGGCACACCCGUUUGAGUGUCGUGAAAUCCUCAAAACCCCUCUUCUUUGGGAGUUUUGGAAUUGGAGGUUUAAUGCUCGCUUUUGCCUUUGAAAGUGAGCUCCUCUCAAAUGAAUCAGUGGGGUCUGCUUUGCUGGUCCUUGACGUGAUAAGAUGUUUCUACGUCUUGGAUUUGGCAUCGUCCCUGCUCCUAAUCGUCUCAUGGACAAUGAUGGUGCUUCCGGUCACCGCCAUCCACAUCGGCGGGAGGCUGGACCCACAAAGAGAAANCCUUGA